rnacentral:snRNA from 1 species
UUCUUUGCGCAGUGGCAGUAUCAUAGCCAAUGAGGUCCAACCGGGGCGUGAUUAUUGCUGAUUGCUCAGGCGGAAGCUUGAUGAAAGCGGAAGAGCUGUGUUCCCAUUAGGGAAGAGCUGUUGGCUUAUUUUUUGUUGGGGGCUUCGCACAUGCUC